rnacentral:rRNA from 1 species
CCUACGGGAGGCUGCAGUGAGGAAUAUUGGUCAAUGGACGCAAGUCUGAACCAGCCAUGCCGCGUGCAGGAAGACGGCUCUAUGAGUUGUAAACUGCUUUUGUACGAGGGUAAUCCCGAUACGUGUAUCGGGGUUAAAGUUUCCUACGAAUAAGGAAUGGCUAACUCCGGUCCAGGAGCCGCGGUAAUUCGGAGGGAUGCAAGGUUAUCCGGGUUUAUUGGGGUUAAAGGGUUCGUAGGCGGGUCGAUAAGUUAGAGGUUAAAUCCCGGGGGUCCAAUCCGGCACUGCCUCUGAUACUGUCGGGCUAGAGUUUAGUUGCGGUAGGCGGAAUGUAUGGUGUAGCGGUGAAAUGCAUAGAGAUCAUACAGAACACCGAUUGCGAAGGCAGCUUACCAAACUACGACUGACGUUGAGGCACGAAAGCGUGGGGAGCAAACAGGAUUAGAUACCCCAGUAGUC